CCUUGAUGCUGAGAUAAGACAUCCUAUAUAGAGUAGUAAUGUCCCAUUUGAAUAUUUCUCUGUUUAUAUUUUGGGGAAAUCAAAUGUGGUCUAUAAUCUGUAGAACCCAUCACUUAACCACUUUUGCUUAGCAAUUACUAUUUCAUUCUUAAUGUCCCUACUAUCCAUUAAUAUUCAGAUGCUUACAAGGAGACAGGCAUCACGCACAACAAAGGAGUCACGUUUUGUUGUGUAGGUUAUUCAGGCAGCAAGUUUAGCAGACCAAUCCUUGGGUCACUGCAUACUUCUCUGCCUUUUAGAAAAUCUCUUUCCCCUGGCAGUUCAAAUCGAAUCUUUUGAACUGUAAAUAUGGCUAUUUACAUUGCCAGGAAAAAAUAAGUCCAGAAACAUGUCCUCAGAAUUAAGGGCCAAAGUUUAUUUUAAUGUACGGUGAGAGUUUACUAAAAGUAAACCUUUAUUGUACGAUUUUAAAAUAUUAACCACACUCAUAAGAGUUCUGCAGAGAACUGAAACGUAGGAGUAGGGAUGGUCUGGGGCCGAAGACAUCAGCAUUUUGUUACACACAGCCUUGGCUUUGGGCCUUCCAUGUUCUCCAAAGCCUGAGAGACGACGCGGGAUCUGCAAGACAGAAAAAGGCUGUUGCAUGCCUUAACCCAGGCUAAAAGGCCUCUUACCUCCGUUUUGUUAUUUCUGCCUCCAAACAGCAUUCCGAUUAGCUCUUUUUGGUGAUAAAAGAUAAAGAUUUAUUGUACCCCACCUACAACUGGAAUCAGAAUUUCACAGGAGGGUCACAGUCAUUAGAGAAGUUUUUUGGAAUAUUAUUCUCUAAAUAAGCACCAUGUGGGGGUGUUGCUAUUAUUUAACACCUAUUAAGUAGGCACAUCAUUCUAGGCUUUGAACAGCUGAAGAGUCCGGGCCCCAGCUUUCUUGGAGCUUACAGACAAUCCCGCAGACAGGCAGGGGAAGGUCGGCGUGCUCGAUUAAGGGCACAUACUGAGCAAAGUUUAACUACUUGCUGGUUUCCUUCCGCGAGUUUGGAAAAUACAUGGUCUAGGGCUAAAUUCUUAACCCGGAGGAUUGAGUCUCGUUCUAGAACUUCUAACCGGAACCUCGGUAGGGCUGUGACACAGGAACGCAGUCCAAAGUCCAAAGUGCUGUCACACAAGAAAUUCAUUAUGCCCAGCAUGCAACCGACAUGCAUGAAAGGGGCCGCUGGACCUCGGUUAUCUUCCUACAAAUCAAGAAGCCAUUUGGAAACAUCGGGGCCAGGUCAAAAUCGUCAAACUGUAGCCUUGUCUUUCUCCACUUUUUUUUUUUUUUUUUAAUUGUUGCUCACAGUGGCGUUUUUGAAAAGGAAGAAAACAGCCGCCAGCACUGCCAAGCCCUGUUUACUGGAGGGGAAGGAAAGGGGAGGCGGCUCCCUGACUCUCCGGCAGCCUGCGUAAGGGCCUGCGCCCACGAGGGGACCUUGCUGCGGUUUCCAGCGCGGCACCCUGACUCACGCCGCGCCCGUGUUUAUUUAUUCUAGAACUUCUGCCGGGGCCGCACGGCCGCCGGCACAGCGCCUUCGCCCCGCGCCCCGCGCCCCGCUCUGCGCACGUGGAGCCGGGCGGCGGGACCCCACGCGGGCGGCGGCGCCCGGACCCGCCCCGCCGGCGCGCCAGCUGCGCGGCUAUAAUUAGAGAGGAGCCGCGGCCGCGCGCCCCCGCCCGCGUGCCCGCGUGCCCGCGAGGGCCGUGCGCGCGCGCGCGCGGCCGCCCGCGUGCGUUCCGCGGCCUCGCGCUCUGGACCGGUUACCGAGUCGUGCACCAAAUAAAGUAAAGGUCUGGCUCCUGCCGGGCGAGGCGGGCGGGCGAGCGGCGUGCCAGCCGGCUCCGGGGUGUGGCGAGCCCUCGGUUGCCCAGAAAAGAUGCAACGCGCGUCAGCAAGAGCCUUGGCUGCUGCCGCGAGGGUCCCUGACGCGCUGCCGGCUGUCCCGGGUGGAUUUUCUAAGUUGGGGAGGGCGCAUGACAAGAGCUGCCCCAGAUGUCACUCCCUUUUUGGAAAUCAUGAGGCUGCCUUUUUUUUUUUUUUUUUUUUUUUUAACGACUGUGGCUAUAAUAAGGCAAACGGUCCACGCUGGUGGAGUAAACUCUCAUACUUAAGGGGCAUCCGUCUUCGGGGAAAGCACAACGAGGCACGGGUGCGUGUCCAUAAAAAUGUUAUUUAUUAAGCGAACCUCAGGACAUGCCCAUAUGGGUACUACAGAGUCAAAUAAAGUACUGCAACCACCGACUGCCUAAAAGGGAGUUGCCUUUUUACAGAGAGACCUUUCUUAAAAUUACAGCAACGGCCAAAAAGUUUUUUCUUGCGUCAUAGCACCGUUGGGCACUGGAGGUGCCCCGCAAUCCAUGGACUUCUAAUUUCCGUUCAUUGUUAGAUUCAAUACUCUGCAGUAACGUCUCAAAAAAAAUCCAAGAAGCAUGACCCCAUCCUUGCACAAGAUGACGCCGAAAUGGCAUGUAGUACCAGCCUUGGAGUGCGGGCCGAGGAACUUCACUGUGGACUGAGGGUUGUGUAAUAGUUUCAGGCACGAAAUCAUUUUAGAAGCGUGGGAUGAAUUCCUACAGAACCGUCCCCUCCUGUAUUUUAUCGAAGAACUCGCAAGGUUUCUCAGGUUGCAGCUCGAUUCCUACGAAGCUAUUUUUGCUCUUUGCCCGAGCCCAUUGGUCUUGACACAGCAUCGCUAGAGUCACCCGCUCCGCUCCUGGACAAAAGACCUUUGAGAGCGAAUUCUGCAGAGAGAGUCUCUCUGAAAACACACCUCAGAAUUGUCCAAUUCUGUCCCAGACACACGACAACACUGGAACAGAGGUCGGGACGUCUCCAGGUGUUCCUGGGCUUUGGGUGAUCAUUUCAGAGAGGCUGGGGAGGACAGCCACAGGUUAAUGAACGCGAAAGGGUGAAAAGCCCCUGGUGAAACUGAUCUGACAAGAGCUUUCUUCUCUGAGCAAGGACGAUGCUAUCUUUUGUCCCUUCAUAUACGAAGGGCCUUGUUUGUGCCAGAGCCUGUCCGAGGCCCUUAAGGUCUAGAGAGAGAAGACCUCCAUUAUCUCAAGCUUUCCAAAGUAUCCUUCCUGAUCCGAUGCCACAAUUCUCUGGGGCCAAAAUGCAAAAUGAAGUCACCGUGAAGCUGCCGUUGACUCACUACGGGACACUGGUUUCCAGACAGAGACAGAGCAUGCGUGGGGAAGGAACAAAGAGAGAGGGAGACGCAGAAUCCCAAGCAGGCCCCAGGCUCCGAGCUGUCAGCACAGAGCCCGACACGGGGCUCGAACCCACGGACCGUGAGAUCAUGACCUGAGCCGAAGUCGGACGCUUAACCGACCGAGCCACCCGGGCAUCCUGAACUGUGGUUUCCCGCACACGAAGACAUGCAGAGCUCUAGUUUCUUCAUUCACAGAGGCCUGGAGAAGAACAGACGGUCCAGGGCGGACUGGUAAACUAGCGCUGAGACCAGGGACAGGAAGUGAGCUACCCUAACAACACCUACUACGUGCUGGGCCUUGCGUUGGGCAUUAUCUUAUUUACUCCGAAAAGCGAUUGGGCGGCCUCACUAAUUCCCAUUGUAUGGUUGGGGAAAACUCAGAAAGUCACACUCAGGAAGUGACAGAGACGUGGCUUGAGCUGAGUCCGUGUGAUUUCACUGGCCCGCCAACUUUCAUCUUAAUCACAGAAUGUUCACUGUUCCACGGCAAAGGGGAAUAUUCGAGACCGACCACCUGUUCGAAGAAAAUCUAAGCGGCCUCUGCGGUUCACAUUAUAUUUACAUCGGAGAGCGCCAGUGUCUAGGGGAGUGUAUUUGCGAAUUCUGGAUAAAAGGUAAGCGGCUUGUUAAAAUUCUCCUCAGCCUCAGAAAAUGCUUUCGUGCCACUAACACCGGCCCCGAAAGGAAGCAAAGUUGGGAGGCUCAGUCGCGGCGUGGGCCCGUGCAGUCCUCCUGGCCCCCCGCGGGCCGCGCUGGGGGCUCCGUCACGCUCGUGCCCUUAAACUGCGCCAUCAUUUCUUUUCUUGAGCAAAGUGCUUCGUCAUUCCUCUCUGGGAGGCAGGUAGGUGAUGAAACCACGGCACAGAGAAAUGACCUGAUCUCUCCAAGGUCGUUAUGGAAGGCCAUGGCCAAACCCCGCAGAGCAGUCUACUGCAGAGUUUACCCCCCGAAAUGCUUUUCUGGUGGGUGAUCUUAACUGCAGGAGAGCAGGUUCAAUGCCCGGGCUUACGGGGGUGGGGGAAGGGAUCACAAUGUCUGCGAGUGCCUGACCCCACCCGUCCCGCGUAGUAUUCACCGCUCCCUGGGCUCAAUAACUUCCAUUCUCCUAACGGAGAUGGAAAGUGCCGUCGUAUCCCUCUUUGAUGAUUUAAAAGUGUUGUGCGUCUUUUCCUCUUUCCUCUUUCUAUCCAGCCCUCUCCCUUCCCCUUGCCGCUUUUCACGUUUCCAUAGCAACCACCUCUCUUGUAUCCGUGACUGUGAAGAGAAAUCUUGCAGAUGUUAGUAGAGAUCCAACACCUUCCAGCAGCUAUUUUGAUUCACAGUCUCCUUAUCUCUCGGCGCUGAUUUUCUUGUCCUUUCUUCUCCCUACAGCUGCUCGCUUCCCCCCCAAGUACCUGCAAGCCCUUUAGCGUGGCUCCCUCUGUCCUCCACGAGCCUGGCUCCCGCUCGCCUCCACCCCAGCCUCGUGGAAAGCUCGGGACCACACCCGUGCCUUUGAAUGUCUUCAUUCUGUGCAUUUCCCGCAGAGGGAUCAGCCACCUUUCCUUGCUGGUUCAGAGGACAGGGCAGACAUGGGAACACGCACACGCACACGCUCUCGUCAGGGCUUUGAAGACCCACGACACCUGAAUCCCCCACCUCCCCUCUCAGGGCCAGGCUCAGCUGGCCAUCUGGAAAGGCCAUCAGAAUGGGGCUUUAUCGUUCCCCUCCCGAAACUGUUUGAAGAGUUCAUAGCCUACAAUCCCUCCUUGGAACCGGGCAUUAUUCUCUUGAUUACACAAGCCUGACAGCCUGAUCAUAAUAAACAUGUAACUGAAGAGAACCUAUUCCUUUCCAGCGGCAUUAUUUAUUCACCUAAAGCAAAGGCUGAGCUAUAUUUAGCAUAUGAUGUCAGUGGGUUGUUUGGAUUCUUGGAAAUUGGCAGGAAGCCACCUCUCACAUGAUAUAUGAAAUCACUGAUAAAUGCUUCUUUUCACCAAAAGAAAAACAGCUUAAUAAAUGCGGUCCUUUUCUGCUUUCAUCUUCUCCCUCCCUCCCUCCCUCUCCUCCACCGUCCUCCCUCCCCGCCGGCCCCUCCCCCUCCACCUCCUCCCGCCCCUUCCACGUCUGGGAUUUGUCUUUCUGUGGCACAGCUCAGCAGAGCCUGUGAAGUGGAAAUGAGUUGCUCAGUAUCACAGAUCAAAAUGAGGCUGUUGGGAUGCUCGGGAUGGUUUUUUUCCUCUCCUAGAGCCUGGAAGGCGGCCAAAGCGCGAGUGAAUCAGACACACACGCACAAAAAGGCAAAUCUAUACAGCAGUGGCUUUAUGGGGCCCAGUAUUUAUGGUGCAGCACUCGCUCUGGGUUGCUAUUUUGCAGGCGAAGAUGGGAAAUAGAUAGUGAUUCAGGAUUGCCAUUAAGUGUGGAAACAGCCCCUGUACAGAUUGUGUGUAAUAAACCAAGUACGGAGAGAAGCCGUAAGAAGCCCAGGAUUUGCCACACUGGAUCAGCCUUGAGGCCCAUCAAGUUCAAGCUCCUGAUUUGUGUGCUGGCUAAUACCUGGUGCUUGGAACAAAUCUUGCUGCCUUCCCUCUGUCUUCCCCGCCAUGCGCUUGGUCCAUUAUACAAGGCUGUCGGAGGGCUUGGGCGGGCCUGUGUGUUUGGAGUUAAAUUAAUUCUUGCCCUCCUGUGGAGAUCAGUUUAUAUGGCCCGAAGCGGAAGAUUUAAUUGCCCUUCUCUUAGCUCCUGUAAAAAGCAGCGUCAUUACUGAUCUCGUGGAUUCACCCAGGCCCUUUCAUAAUCAGCUGUCGCGUUUAACUCAGUGACCCCCAGCAGGGGCCUGGUGGGUAGUUUUCCUGGCCAUGGGGAAUGGGGAAGGCAUGGCCCCCAAUGGCGGUGGUUCAUUUACGUUUGUCCUCAGUGCCGUCCCGCGGCCCCCCGGUCCUGGCAUCGGAAGACAUCCUGAAGACCAGAGAUGCACUUGUUUUCACCCCUUAUUAUUUGGGGUGUCUUCAUCAGGUGCCUUCCAACAUCCGCUCUGUCAAACAGUCCUGCCUGUAACCGCGGGCGUGAGAGUUUCAAAGAUGCCACCGUGACACUGGCUGCUGCUGGCCUUUCUUCCGCACCCGCCCCUGGGCUGAGCCGGCUCCCACAACUCUUCAAUCUUCAGCCUCAGUCGGAGAGGAGAACCGAAAGGGAGGAGGAGGAGGAAGUGAGAGCAAACCAAAGCUGUGUUCCUCCUGUACCUGCCUCGGUUCUUAGUGGGGUGCGGGAUAGAUGGAUGGGGACAAUAGACAGAUUAACCGGGACAGAGGGGGGAUGCACCCUGGCAUCAAUUACUCAGCGAGAAAUCCCACCAAAUGAACUCUGGUUGCAGGUCAAAGCUGUUCUCCGAUUCCACGGUCAAAUUAGCCCUCGCUUGGGACUCCAUAAUAGGGACUGCAGGUGAGGUGAAUGAGCUCUCAGACACAGAUGCUUCAGGAACACGCCCUGAGGAACAGAGACAGGAACAGGAACAGGGCGCCGAGGCUGCUGUGGGUCCUGAGCGAGCAGUUUUAAGGAGCCCCCCCGCCCCCGACUCCCCGCGAACCACAGCGCCCACCAGUGAGCCAGCCUGGUCCCGCUUUGACCUCCGGGAUCCGGGGCUUCUGAGGACAGAUCUAGAGCUCGUGAACUGGGUGGUUGCACCAACUCUGGGCAGGUGGACACAUCUCCACCCGGCCAGGUUACUGUCGCAGCCCUCGCUGCAUUCUGCUCCCCAGCCCUCGUGACAGCAAGAAAACCCCACGCUUUUACGAAAAAAGCUCGUAUUCGAAAGGAUCGCUAAGCUUUCUAGUCCACCCCACUGAUGGCCGUUUCAUAGCCAAACCAUUUCAUCUGACAUUUUUAAAGUGAAGAUGAUGGGUGCCUGGGUGGCUCGGUCGGUUAGGUGUCCAACUCCCGAGUUCGGCUCAAGCCAUGAUCUCGCGGUUCGUGAGUCUGAGCCCCACGUCAGGCUCUGUGCUGACAGCGCAGAGCCUGCUUGGGAUUCUCUGUCUCCUCCUUCUCGGCCCCUCCCUGACUUGUGCCCUCUCCCUCCCUCAAAAAAUAAACUUAAAAAAAAAAAAAAAAAAGUGAAGAUGAUCUUCCGCUUUUGUAUAUUCAAUAUUUGCCGAGUACUUACUAGGUGCUUACUGAGUUCCUGCUAGCACAAGUACUGUUUGGGGCACUGUCUCCAAGAGUCUGCAUGCUUAGGAUGGGCAUACUCUCGAAAUCCUAGUGUUCCGGGGAAAGCAUUUCUUGUGAUUUUUCCCGCAGCACCCACUCUUCCUCUCCAAGGUGACCCCUCUAAGCCGUGAGAGAAAUUAAAAAUGCCUUCAUGGAAUCAUUAUCCCGUGAUCCUCAAUGUGAUUGCUAACGUUACCACUAGGACCUUUCCGCAAGUCGCCAGUUGAGCACCUGUGUGUAUGAGACCGGGAGAGAAUGAGGGAGAAAAGACUGCCGUCGCUAUUGUUCCUAAAUGACAAGAUUGGUUUUAUCACCAUGGUGUAAUUAUUAGUGUUACGUAUCACCUUUACCUCUUAUUUAUGUAAUAGUUCAGAAGCUAAAAAAAAUUCUUUAUUUCUUGGCAAAUCUUGGAUUCGACGGCCAUUUGUUAAAUUGGGUGGAGCAUGAGCUUCUCAGAUCCUAAGUGUAUUUGUUUUUACUGCCGCGUAAAGUUACCAUGAGCUCAGCAGCUCGAAGUGACACACGUUUAUUAUGUCUCAUCUUCUACCGGUUAGCUGGGUCCUCUGCACAGGGUCUCACAAGACCGUAGUCAGUGUGUCCACUGGAGCUGGGGUCUCCUCUGGGCGCAGGGUCCUUUCUCUCCCAAGUUCAUAGGGCAGAAUUCAUUUCCUCCCAAGCGUCUCCUGGUAGGUUUGCUUCUUCCAGGCCAGCAAGUGCGAGAGAGGAUCUGAUGCUUUGUCUGUGCCCCUCUAGAUUUUCUUUUAAAGGGCCCAUCUGAUUAGGUCAGACCCACCCAAGAUAAUCUCUCCUGUGAUUCAGCCAAAGACACCUGAUUAGAGACCUUCAUUACAUCUGCAAAAUCCCUUCACCUUCGCCACUCGCAUCAUGAAACACAGGGAUGAGUGAUACCCUUCCACCUUUGCUGCAUUCUAUGGUUGGAAUGCAAACCAAGGCCCUGUUCGCACUCAAGGGGAGAAGGUUACAUGUUACCAGGGUGAGGGACGCUGGGGAUCAUUUUAGAAUCUGUGGAUAGCAAGGUUGUCUGCAUGCUUUUUCAUCGAUUUAUACUCAGCAGAGCAACAGGCAUACAAUGUAAAAAUAAUUGACGGGUCCUGAGAACGUAGCGACUGGAAACAGAUUCAUGUUUUUGAAGGCGCACUCCAGAGCACACUCUGAGAAAGGUCACUUUCUCCCCCCAGCAGGUCUUAACAGGGGAGGGUGGAGGGAAGCAUGGGUAGGUGACGGUUCAGAAAGCACACGAGCUAAAAGAAACACGAGCCGGAAAAAUCUAGGUUCCCGUUCUAGCUGCUCCUCAGAAAGCUGUGUGAGCUUCCCCUAUCUGGGGAGCAGGGUGGGAGGGAAAUGGUAGCUGCCUUCCCUUGCAGGUCUGCUGAACAGGCAGAAAGAGACCAACAAACCCUUGUGGGGACAAAGGUCUUCACUGUCCUGACACAGACUGUCGGGAAGCUGGUGGAUCACACUGUGCUUCUGUCUCAAAAGGCGGGUGCGUGAUCACAUCACCA